AACCUCAACUCUGCUUAAACUUAUCUAUAUUUUGCCAACAGCUGUACAAUAAUCACCUGGCUGUGAGCCUGAAUGUGAUACCAUAAUGGAUGUUGAAAGCUGUGAAGGGAGAAAUGAGACAGAAGUUGCUGUCCAUAGAGGCCAGAGCUAAUGGAAAGAAAGAGCAUCCAUAUCUAUGGUGCAUAUUGACAAAAUCUACAUUUGAGAAUAGUAUUAGAAGUACCAAGAACCAGAACUUCCAGGGAAAGCAUCACCUUUGGCAACACAGAUGGAAUGUAAAUAUGGGAAGGAAGAGCUAUCCCUCCCGCUUGAAAAUGAGUGGACAUGAAAUAUCUCUAAGCAAGGGAACUCAUGAUUAAUAAAUCCUACAUUUGACAAAUAGUUACUUCUUGACCCUCACUUCGCCUGCAGGCUCCUAGAAGAGCACCUAGAUAAAGCAGGAGCUCAGUAAAUAUUUAUUGGAUGAAAAAUAGAUUGACCCAUAAAUGAG